AGUGAACGCUGGCGGUAGGCCUAACACAUGCAAGUCGAACGGCAGCACAGUAAGAGCUUGCUCUUACGGGUGGCGAGUGGCGGACGGGUGAGGAAUACAUCGGAAUCUACUUUUUCGUGGGGGAUAACGUAGGGAAACUUACGCUAAUACCGCAUACGACCUACGGGUGAAAGCAGGGGAUCUUCGGACCUUGCGCGAUUGAAUGAGCCGAUGUCGGAUUAGCUAGUUGGCGGGGUAAAGGCCCACCAAGGCGACGAUCCGUAGCUGGUCUGAGAGGAUGAUCAGCCACACUGGAACUGAGACACGGUCCAGACUCCUACGGGAGGCAGCAGUGGGGAAUAUUGGACAAGGGGCGCAAGCCUGAUCCAGCCAUACCGCGUGAGUGAAGAAGGCCUUCGGGUUGUAAAGCCCUUUUGUUGGGAAAGAAAAGCAGCAGGUUAAUACCCCGCUGUUCUGACGGUACCCAAAGAAUAAGCACCGGCUAACUUCGUG
rnacentral:rRNA from 1 species